CCUACGGGUGGCAGCAGUGAGGAAUAUUGGUCAAUGGGCGAGAGCCUGAACCAGCCAAGUCGCGUGAGGGAGUACUGCCCUAUGGGUUGUAAACCUCUUUUGUCGGGGAGCAAAAGCCGGACGUGUCCGGCUGUGAGAGUACCCGAAGAAAAAGCAUCGGCUAACUCCGUGCCAGCAGCCGAGGUAAUACGGAGGAUGCGAGCGUUAUCCGGAUUUAUUGGGUUUAAAGGGUGCGCAGGCGGAUUUUUAAGUCAGCGGUAAAAUCGUGGGGCUCAACCCCAUCCAGCCGUUGAAACUGGGGAUCUAGAGUGUGCGAGAGGUAUGCGGAAUGCGUGGUGUAGCGGUGAAAUGCAUAGAUAUCACGCAGAACCCCGAUUGCGAAGGCAGCAUACCGGUGCACAACUGACGCUCAGGCACGAAAGCGUGGGUAUCGAACAGGAUUAGAUACCCCAGUAGUC
rnacentral:rRNA from 1 species